GGGGGAUGGCCAGCUGCACUGUGCCUUCCCCCUACCCCACCAGUAUUCCCUCUUACCAGCUCUGUCACCAGUAAUUCAUCAUCAGGGUCAGAAAGAUCCAUCCCUGAGAGGGAGGGAAGGGGAGACACCCUGCCCCACCCCCUGGAACUCACAUCCCAGCGUGGAGGAUCACAGGAACAAACCAACAGAAUCUCUCACUGAGCCUGGAGCUAGGCAUUCAGCAAGCCUGGCUGACCAACAAGUGCCCCCAGGAUCCACCUGUCUUUGCCACCGCAGUGCUGGGAUUG